GGUUGCUGCAGGCUGUGUGUUGCUGCUGCCGGCUUGAUGCUGUUGUGGAUGCGUCGUGAUGAUCGACUUGCAACUCUUUUGGCUAAAGAGAGAAGCCAUUCACUAACUUACAUUGGAUGCAUAAAGAAAGGACCUGUGAUAACUGACUCUAAACUGAAGUGGUAUGAGAAAUCAGGACAUCUGAUUGGUAGUAAAUACGUCUUGCAUGCUUAUGGUCCUACCUAUGUUCUUUCUGCAGAGGUGGUA